GGACGACAAAUAGGGACCCCUUCUUAAUUGGGGAGGGGGCAACAGGACCCCCCCACCUCCCUGUGAAUAGGGGAGGAUCCCCCACGUAUGGGGUGGGGGCACUGGGACCCCCCCUCCUCCCCCCCAUAAUAAAGGAUACCCUCAAUUUGGGGUCCCCCUGGAUUCUAUGGGGCACUGUUUUGGGGUUCCCCCAAUUCCUUUGGAGCUCUAUGGUGGGGGACCCCAAAUCCUAUGGAAUGUCAUUGUGGGGUCCCCCCCAAAUCCUACGGGGCAUUGUGGUGGGGGUCCCCCCAGAUCCUAUGGGGCUGUAUGGUGGGGUCCCCCAAAAAUCCUAUAGUGGGGGUCCCCCUAAAUUCUUAGGAACUCUUAUGGUGGAGACCCCUGUCCCAAAUCCUUUGCUGGGGGUCCCUCUAAAUCCUAUGGGGCCCUAUGGCAGGGACCCCCCUAAAUCCUUUGCUGGGGGUCCCCCAAAACCCUAUGGGGCUCUAUGGUGGGGGUCCCCCAAAAUCCUAUGGGGCUCUAUGGUGGGGACUUUAUGGUUUGGGAAUUGUGGGGUGAGCGGGGAAGGAUUGUGGGUUCAGCCCCAUGGAGCUUCGGGGGAGAACUGGUCCUAUGGGGUCAUACUGGGACCCACAUGGUGACCCCGAUUGCCUUUGUGUGUCCUAUGGGGUCAUUCCUGAACCCCAAAGAUGCAGCCAAGGCCCUCUAUGUUUUAUGGGGUCAUUCGUGAACCCCAAAGAUGCAGCCAAGGCCCUUUGUGUCCUUAUGGGGUCAUAUGGGAACCCAAGUGGUGACCCCAAUUGCCUUUGUGUCUUAUGGGCUCGUAUGGGAACCCAACUGGGGACGCAGAUUGCCUUUGUGUCCUAUGGGGUCAUUCGUGAACCCCAAAGACGCAGCCAAGGCCCUCUAUGUUUUAUGGGGUCAUUCCUGAACCCCAAAGACGCAGCCAAGGCCCUCUAUGUUUUAUGGGGUCAUUCCUGAACCCCAAAGACGCAGCCAAGGCCCUCUAUGUUUUAUGGGGCCAUUCCUGAUCCCCAAAGAUGCAGCCAAGGCCCUCUAUGUUUUAUGGGGUCAUUUGUGAACCCCAAAGACGCAGCCAAGGCCCUCUAUGUUUUAUGGGGUCAUUCGUGAACCCCAAAGACGCAGCCAAGGCCCUCUAUGUUUUAUGGGGCCAUUCCUGAUCCCCAAAGAUGCAGCCAAGGCCCUCUAUGUUUUAUGGGGUCAUUCCUGAACCCCAAAGACGCAGCCAAGGCCCUCUAUGUUUUAUGGGGUCAUUCCUGAACCCCAAAGACGCAGCCAAGGCCCUCUAUGUUUUAUGGGGCCAUUGGGGAGAAGGGAAAAGUGGGAAAGCAAAGGGGGAAAAUGGGCUGUUGGAAAAGGGUGGAGGAGACGGAGAGGUUGGAGACGAAGUUGGGCCAAAAGGGCGGCGUUGGUGAGGAG
ensembl:lncRNA